rnacentral:rRNA from 1 species
CAGUAACGGCGAGUGAAGCGGCAACAGCUCAAAUUUGAAAUCUGGCCCCCAGGGCCCGAGUUGUAAUUUGCAGAGGAUGCUUUUGGCGCGGUGCCUUCCGAGUUCCCUGGAACGGGACGCCAUAGAGGGUGAGAGCCCCGUCUGGUCGGACGCCUAGCCUGUGUAAAGCUCCUUCGACGAGUCGAGUAGUUUGGGAAUGCUGCUCUAAAUGGGAGGUAUAUGUCUUCUAAAGCUAAAUACCGGCCAGAGACCGAUAGCGCACAAGUAGAGUGAUCGAAAGAUGAAAAGCACUUUGAAAAGAGGGUUAAAUAGUACGUGAAAUUGUUGAAAGGGAAGCGCUUGUGACCAGACUUGGGCCCGGUGGAUCAUCCAGCGUUCUCGCUGGUGCACUCCGCCGGGUUCAGGCCAGCAUCAGUUCGCCGCGGGGGAAAAAGGCUUCGGGAACGUGGCUCCUACGGGAGUGUUAUAGCCCGUUGCAUAAUACCCUGGGGCGGACUGAGGUUCGCGCUCCGCAAGGAUGCUGGCGUAAUGGUCAUCAGCGACCCGUCUUGAAACACGGACCAAGGAGUCGUCUUCGUAUGCGAGUGUUCGGGUGUAAAACCCCUACGCGUAAUGAAAGUGAACGCAGGUGAGAGCUUCGGCGCAUCAUCGACCGAUCCUGAUGUUCUCGGAUGGAUUUGAGUAAGAGCAUACGGGGCCGGACCCGAAAGAAGGUGAACUAUGCCUGUAUAGGGUGAAGCCAGAGGAAACUCUGGUGGAGGCUCGCAGCGGUUCUGACGUGCAAAUCGAUCGUCAAAUAUGG